rnacentral:lncRNA from 1 species
AAGUACUUUCGUACUUUAUUUCGUAUUACUCAAGUAUUAUUACUUGCUUGAAUAAUACUUUCGUACCUUCGUAAGUUGGUAGGGGUUACUUACUUGAGUUAUUUGAGUACGUAAUAAUAAUAAUACUUGAGUAUUACUCAAAUAAUAGUUGACUGAAUACCGUUGAGACUUGAUUGAUGAACGGUCAACAAACAACGGGAUUUUUAAACGGCUCACCUUCGGCGGCGCGCCUUCUUCUUCUUGAUUAGAGGCGCCCCGCGGUGGCGACACAGCGGUAACCGGCGCGUCGGAAGGUUCUCGAGGUGCAGGAUCAAGAUGGGGAUCAACAGAUUCCUUGAAGUUGCCUUUUUGUCGUUGCCCGGGAGAAUCUUCCCACGGCUACUGCAUAUUUAUAAUUCUACUUUCAAAAUCCCCGUUCGUCGUAUGCGACGCUCUCCGGUGCGUGACGAGCGCACGGCCUUUCGUGGCGUGGCGAUGCUACGUCAAGUGGUGGCGAUGUAGCUGGCGUUUGAUCUAACGAACAACCUUCAAAGCGGGGUGGGUAACUGGGUAUGCCGCAGAUGGAUCUGGAGUUAGGCUUUAAAAAAAUGGUUUUUUGCUGACUGUUGUACGGAAAGUAUGUACGAAAGUACUUCCGUACACGUGUACGAAAUAAAGUAACAACUUACUUAUUAGCUACGUAGCUAGCUACCUUCGUACCUUCGAAGGUAGUAGAUAGAUAGCUAGCUACUAGCUAGUAGCUACCGUACGUGUAGCUAGCUCUAGACCACCGGAAAUUUAGUGAGUAUUUUAUGAGUAAUAAAUUCGUGUAUCCAAAAAGUGUAAAUAAAUGAGUAUUUGAUGAAUACCGCCAAAAAAAAAAGGUAAAUAAAUAAAUACUCAAAAAAAUUCUUCGCCUUCGGCGAGUAAAUAAAUAAAUAACAUUUUCUUAUUACUCAUUAUUUAUUCACUAUCAAAAGUUAUAACUCCUGUACCUAUCUACGUACCUUCAAAGGCACUUCAGGAAGUACGUAGGCUACGUACUACGUAGUACGAAAGUACUUUCGAAAGUACGAAAGUACUUUCGUACGUACGUAGCUAGCUAGCUACGUACGAAAGUACCUUCGUAGUACGUAGCUACGUACCUAUCUAGUAUCUACUAUCUAGUCUACACGUACUGUACAUACACGUACUCGUACACGUUGCGUGUGUGUAUCUGAUUACAAAAAGACUGAGCUCUAACCCAUCCGGGCAAAACAUGUGAUCUAAAUGCGAGCAGACCACACUACGAACAAUCCUCUCACGUAGUAAGCAACCCCACGACGGGAUUCAUGAAACCCAUGUGAGCCUCACGAGCGCACGGAGCCGGGGCGAUGUGGAAAUCGCCAGCAGUGUCGGGCUCCAUAAAAAGGAUUUGCGCUGCCGCGCCCGCGUGGAAGUUUUCAGAGUCACGUGCGGUUCUGAGCGCGUACGAGAUGGGCGCGCCAGCGAUGCGGUCCCCGAUGGCGGAUACGAGCGCGACGGAGAUGUGGCCCAUGAUGCGUCGUUUCCAAUAGCUUUUGCUCCUCGCGAUGGCGGAGAGCGUGGCCUCGGUCGCGGCAUCGGAGGCGGCGUCGCCGGCGGGGACAGUACCUCUCGCACCGUGAUCGGCGAGAUCGUUAAGGAAACUGCGGAAGCGCGGCGCCUUGAAACCGUACGUGUCGAUGGCCAUGGGCACGAGGCCGAAGUUGCGGCCCGCGGGGAUGUUGCCGUACCAGUCGAGCUUCUUCUUCUCCGCCUCGAGCGUGUACUCGCCCGGCUGGAUGUUCGCUGGUGAGCGGGUCGCAGUGGGGCGCCGACCGUUGUAUUUCGCGCGCCCGUCACCACUGAACGGGUGGGGGACGACGACGUCCCCGAGGGUCCUGGCCACCCGGCUGUCGAGUCCCGUGAUGCUGAUGUCGACGGUUUUCCAGCAUUCGUGGCGUCCACCUCGCACGGCGUCUGGGGGGAGGAGGCCACGGAUGCCUUUCGUCUCGACGCCGAGUCCGACGUCUUUGCACAGCUGUGCGACGGCUCGCACCACGCGGUCGUGGGUUUGGACCCUGUUGCCACCGGCGUUGCCUUCCUUGUGGUUGAGGAUGUGGUGGACGGCGUUGUGUGUGAACGUCUCGUUGCCGCACUCGGCUUGGUGGCAUGCGAGUUUCCGGUCGAUGAGGAUCUUGAUGGCGGCGGGGAUGAGGCCGAGCUCGAGGCGAACUUGGUUUCGCACGUGAGCGGUGGAGAGCUCCACGGCCUUCGAGAAGGGGAUCACCGUGUGCCAGGCGGUCGCGCCUUCGCCCCGGAGCGAGUCCAUGGAUACCGCGACCUGGGCGGCGAACUCGCGGGCGUGUGGGUUCGCGGAGUGGUCGUCGCUGAGCUCCACGGCGGAGGCCUUCACGCUCUCGAACUUGCGCGCGUAGAACAUCUGGGAGAGGAGGUGCUGGAGGCCCUUCGCGGCGCACGGUGCGGCGGCGGAGUCGGCAAACUCGGGGAGGAUGUUUCGUUCGCGCCGACUGUCUCCUUCAGCGCCGCGGGCUCGAACACGGUCCCAGACGGGCUCGAUCAUGCCGUUCAUCGGGAGGGUGCCGUCCUCGGAGGGCGCGGCGAUGCCGUCGAGCGCCGGGACGCGGCUCGCGAGGUAGGACGACGUGUACUGCCAGUUCGCGGUGAGCGCGUUGUCGGCGAUCUCGCAGAUGUUGGUGAUGCCUUGGCCUCCGAAUCCGAGGGGCAUGGUGACGCGGUCACGGACGAACUUCACGUUCAUGUCCGCGUCGGAGAGGUCGACGAUCUUCAUCCACGCGUCGAGGAUGGACGCGUGUCCUCGCUUGAACGCUUCGGCGGGAGCGCGCAGUGGAUCAGGAGGAGCUUCGCAACUUGCGCGUCAACUGCACCGAGCGAUAUUAAGGCGUGUAAACGCUUCUGGUGCAUGUUGUUGCGCUCGUUGACGAAGGUGUUCUGAAACGCAGGCGAGCCGAGGGGGGACCCAAGACACUUGACGCCGUUCACCAUGGAGCCCACGGUGUGACCGGCGCGUGUGUCCCCGAAGUGGACGAAGGAGAUGUCGCCGACCAUCCCUGCGUCCGUGAAGGUGGAGCUCGAGAGCACCGGGGACGACCGACCUUGGGUCACGAUCCAUCCCUUGAUGUGGAGCCCGGCGCGCGCGCCCAGCAAGCGUUGGUUCUGCGCGGCGGCGGCGGCGGCGACCGCGGGGGGGCCCAGGUGGUAUCCGUUGUCGGCGUACCAUGCUUGAUGUACGUCUGGGUUCUCGCGCGCGGUGUCCCGCAGAACCGGGUGGAUGGCGAGGCAAAAUAGGAGCAUGCCCAGGACGUCGCCUUGCGUCGAGCCCACCUGUGAGUCGACGAAGUGCCUCGCGCCAUCAGCGCCGCGAACGGCGAUUUUCGAGGGCUUCCCGUAGACCGUGAGGAAGAAAGGGAGGAGGGAUCGUCCUUUCUCUUCGCCCAGCGCCAUGAUCCCCUCGACGAUCGCGGUCCUCCACACCUCGUUGAACGCGUUCCGUACGUCGCCCUCGAUGGCGACGUGCGUCGGGUUCAGGCGGAGGUAUUCGUCUAUGUGCGUGCGGCAUAACUGCGUCCCGCGCGGGACGCCGACCGCGAGCUGGAGCAGACGACCGUUGCCCCCCUUUUCGGUGAAGUGCGCGUCGAGAUCUUCGCGCCACGCGGACAGGAGGAUCCGCCCGACGAGGUUCCGGAAGACAGCGCAGAUCCCGAUCGGGCGAAUGCCCCCGUCCUCCUUCGCGAGCGCGACGAGGCGUGCGCGCGUGAGUAGCUCGGUGGCGGAGUCGUGGAGGUCACCCCGGGCGAGUGCGCGGAUCAGCGAGGUGAGCGCCUCGAUCGCGUCCGGGAACGCGCACAGGGCCUGGAGGGACUCGACUCGCCAGCCCAUGCAGUCUUGGGCCGCUCCCCUCGUCGCGGACUUGAGGGCCUUGAUGACGUCGGCGGGUUGGAUGUCGGCGAGGAAGGGGAGGGUUUCCUUGGCGCGCUCCCAGGCGUCCUCGUCGUUGUCCAGUCUCGCCGCCGGCGGCGCGGCGGGGUGUUUUGCUUGCAGCGCCGCGAUGGUGUCCGGUGUGCCUUGGACGACUUUCGUAUCGUCAAGAGCUUGCACCGCGCGGGAGAGCUCGCCCACGCGGGCGAGACGCCGUGCGCGGGUGAAGGUGGGGUUGAAGCCGGGGUCCGCGGGGGGGGUGGUGCCGACGCCGGCCUGUCUUGCCGGCUGAGCCUGACGCUCGCGCGCCUCGUCGACGAGGGACUCCCAUUCCCCGCCCAUGAAUCGGUUCAGGCGGCAUAUGACGUCUCGCCUGCCGGCGUCGCCGCCUCGCGGACUCUUGCCGUGUCGGACGGCCUCGAAGAGGAGCAUGUGCGACGCCUCGAGCAAGAAACACGCUGCUCGAAGCUCAUCCUCGGGCGCGUUGGCGUCAAGGGCGUUGACGGGCCACGCGCAUAAAACCUCGAAAACGUCCGCCCAUGUCGAGAGGGCGACCUUUGGCGCAUUCGCGGACUGUCCGGGGUCCCGCUCGGAGAGGAAGCUGAGGUUCCCCGCGGCGUGCUCGCGUACCCACCAUUCCUUCGCCUGGCGCAAGUCGUCGCCGCCCGUGGGCAGACCAAGCGUCACCGCGCGGGCCCGCGCCGGUGCUUCGCGGUUAACUGGGGGGAGAUGCGCACGAGGGGGGACGCCACGGCGCGUGCCCCCGCCACGGCCUGGGCCGGACGCCGUUGUCUCCGCCGUGGAUCGGGGCGGCGGGCGGAUCGUGGACGCGACCCUGUCGAAGAGCGCCGCGACGUCCGGCGCGUCCGUACCGCGCGGGUCUGCGAGCGGGAGGCGCCUGUACUCUCCGUUGUUCGCGUUCCGCCUCGCACUCCUCUGCGCAUUUGUACGCGCGCGAGGGCUUCCUAGCUCGGCACCGCUGUCAUCGACGGGGACGACCACCGGCGAGCCGAAGGCGUUGUCAUCCUCCUCCGCUCGGGGUCGAUCCACGGCGUCCGCGCGGGUACUGACGGCGGCGAGGGCGUCGCUGCGAGGUAGCGCAUCGGUGGUGCCUUGCGCGGAUCGCGCUGGAGGCAGCCGCAGCAGCUCCGGCCGCGGCGACUCCGGCAGCGGCGACUCCGGCCGCGGCGACCCCUGCCGCGGCGACUCAGGCCGCGACGACUCAGGCCUCGGUGGCGGCGGCGGGCCCUCGAUCAUCGGAAAAGGCGGCGGCGGCGGCACCUCGGUCAUCGGCAACAGCGGCACCCCGGCCAUCGGCAGCAGCGGCACCUGGACCGUCGGCGGCGACGGCGCCUCGACCCUCGGCGGAGGCAACGCCCCGAUCGUCGACGGCGGCGGUGCCUCGACCAUCUGACCCGGGGGGUGCCUCGGCGGUGGUGGAGGAGGACCGGUCCUUACCGGCGGCGGCGGAGGGAGGCAUAGUACGCGGUGGUCCGCGGCUCGUGCGUCCGUCGCGUCCGCCCGAGCGUUUGCGUCGAGGGCCGGAUUUGCAUCCGCUCGAGCGUUCGCGUCUAGGCCCGGAAUUACGUCCACACGACCCGCCAGGGAGCGCGCCGCCGAGCCAUCGCGGCCGGGGACAGCACGGGGCACGCCCCUUGUGCCCUUCGCCUUCGCUCGCGUGCCCGCGGCGGCGACGCGAUCGGCAUGGCCGGAGCCGGCGCCACGGCGGCCGCCCGCGGCUCGUGCAUCCGGCGCGUUCGCACGCGCGUCGGCGCCGAGGGCUGGGCUGGCGUCCGCUCGACCCGGCGGGGAGCGCGCCGCUGAGCCACCGCGGUCGGGGGCAGCACGGGGUGCGCCGCUCACGUCCUUCCCCUUCGUUCGCGUGCCCGCGGCGACGCGAGCGGUCGGGGCGGAGCCCGCGCCUUGGCGGCGACCCGCGGCUCGUGCGUCUGUCGCGUCCGCUCGAGCGUUCGCGUCUAGGCCCGGAAUUACGUCCACACGACCCGCCGGGGAGCGCGCCGCCGAGCCAUCGCGGCCGGGGACAGCACGGGGCACGCCCCUUGCGCCCUUCGCCUUCGCUCGCGUGCCCGCGGCUGUACGUGUAGUGCACUCGGGCUCAGCAUUCUUCAUCGAGCCUCCUGUAUUUAGUUGCCGAUCUAGAAUAAACACACUCUUUGCACCUAUGUCGUGCCCGUCCGUGCUCACAAAUCGCAGCCCCCCCACAGUCUUUACAUUGACUUCUCAUACGACCAUGUUCACAGAUGGAAGCACCGCCACACUGUUUACACGUGUAUUUCAGUCUGUUGUGAAGACAAAUAGACGCGCCACCGCAAUCUUUGCACUUACUCUUCUGCCGACCGUGUGUACAAAGAGAAGAGCCACCACAUUCUAAGCAGUAACGUUUUUCCCGUUUGUGUUUGCACAUUGCGACACCAACGCAGUCCUUGCACCGACGCCGUUCCUUACCAUGUUCACAUAUGCCAUUAUUACUGCCACAAUGUUUACAGCUAUACCGUCUCAGGCCGUGCUUGCAAAGAGAUGUUCCGCCGCACUCCUUGCACCUCCGCUUUUCUCGGCCGUGUUCACAUAUUCCCGCGCCCCCGCAUUCUUUGCACGUAUAACGCUGCCUGCCGUGUUCACAUACGUUUUUUUUCUUCUUUAUAAUACGCCUCUUCGGGUUUACAAGUUUCAAUCUCGAAUUGUCCUCCGGCACCGCUGUCUCUGCCGCCGCCGCUAGGUAUUGGAGUCGCCCUGCCCCAAUCUUCGCUUCAAAUGCCACUGGAAGAUUAUUUAUUUCUUUAUUCACCACUAGUUUUCGAAUCAUACUCGCGUACAUACAUUUAUUUCUUCAUUUCUCCAGUUCAAGAAGUUCCCGGCUAGAAUUCUUCCGGGCAUGUGGGUAUGUUGUCUUCAAAGUUUCUACCUUCGUAUCCGACUUGCACACCCGGGUAUUUGGUGUGUAACAGGCACGCAUGGGAUAUAUAUACUCACAAUCGACGGUCUAAUUUCGCUCGACCCGCAAAAGUCUUCGCCUUUCGAAAAACUAAGUAAACUUUUACUUCUCAUUAUUUAAUACUUGUAUUAAAAGUUAUUAUUAAAGCGUACGUGUACGUGUGCAACUGUGCACAGCUGCACACAGUAAAUAAAACAACUUACGAAAGUACUUUAUUUAUUGUACACGUACUUGAGUAAUACUCAAGUAAUACUCAUGCAUCAAGUAUUACUUGAAUAAUACUUGAGUUAUUUGAGUAAUACUUGAGUAUUACUCAAAUAAUACUUGACUGAAUACCGUUGAGACUGAUGAACGGUCAACAAACAACGGGAUUUUUAAACGGCUCACCUUCGGCGGCGCGCCUUCUUCUUCUGGAUUAGAGGCGCCCCGCGGUGGCGACACAGCGGUAACCGGCGCGUCGGAAGGUUCUCGAGGUGCAGGAUCAAGAUGGGGAUCAACAGAUUCCUUGAAGUUGCCUUUUUGUCGUUGCCCGGGAGAAUCUUCCCACGGCCACUGCAUAUUUAUAAUUUUACUUUCAAAAUCCCCGUUCGUCGUAUGCGACGCUCUCCGGUGCGUGACGAGCGCACGGCCUUUCGUGGCGUGGCGAUGCUACGUCAAGUGGUGGCGAUGUAGCUGGCGUUUGAUCUAACGAACACUCUUCAAAGCGGGGGUGGGUAACUGGGUAUGCCGCAGAUGGAUCUGGAGUUAGGCUUUGAAAAAAUGGUUUUUUGCUGACUGUUGUACGGAAAGUACUUCCGUACACGUGUACGUGUACUAUAGUACCUUCGUACGAAAGUAGCUAGCUCAGACUCCUAAAAGAGACAUAUACCCUAAAGUCGUUUCCGAAUGCUCUGUACAGCCAUAAUCUGAAAAGAUUCCACGAGCCGAAAUCGCGCCGUGUCAACCUCGAAGGCGAAUGCGACUUCGCCACUUUUCGGCUCGAAGCCUCGGAUUGAAGUUUUGGUCACCCUCAGCACAACCCUCAGCGACGUCCGGAAGUUCGUAGGUAUCCCUUGCCUUGACUUUCGACGCAUGUUUAGGAGAAACAUUAAUACCACUGCUGGAUGUUAUCUGGUUGUUGGUUGCCACGACAUCGAGUGGGAUUGUGCACGCGUUAUUUAUUAGUAUCUUUCGUGAUAUGACCCUAAACCCUGGAUCUCAGAAAUAAUAUGACGAGAAUACUUUACGAAGCUUUAGGUUUCGGUGUUGCAAAAAUGAAGAGCAGGUGUGAAGAGAUGAAAAGAAAUACAAGCGCCUUCCACUACGCAGUUGCGAAAAAUUCAAAAAGGACAGAGCUUGGGACCCUCUCGCGAUCGUCAUCAGUGAUAUAUUCUUAAGCGGGCUUCGCAAAAUUCUUCUUCGUCUCCGGGCCGAAUAACAACCCACAUAAUUGAAGACGAGCGUUGAGCUGGGGUCUUGGAUUAUCUAUUACGUCACUGCGCUGUGUUAGUUCGUCGCCUACCGCUUUCAUAAAUUCGCGGGUCGUUUCCUGGAGGUCACCCACACGUACAUCUUCAGCAAAUGCAGAGACAGCGGCAAAGGAAGAAGCGGAUAUGGCACGUGCAGUGGUUGCGUUGAAGUGAGAGUGGCAAAGCUCCCCAUCCCCGCACGAUGUCCUGUGCCCUUUCA